CACGUUGAAACACCAGUUCCCUUACGAUCACCGAAAUUAAGCCUGGUCAGUACUUAGAUCGGUGACCGCUUGAGAAUACCUGGUGCUAUAA